AAAAAAUGGACUUAGUGGGUCUUUGAAUUUAAAUAAAAUAAACAUGUAUAUGCAACACAAAAUAUUUAUAUUCCUUGUGUAAACAUAAUUUAAUUGAUUAGGAUUAAAAUGUUUUGUUUGAAUGUAAAAUGAACACAUUAUUCUCACAUUGAUUAAAAUUGAUUGAAUUGAAUACUUAAAGCAAUAAAAUUGGGUUUGCACACAAAACGGCACCUCCUGAGCAGCAGGGGCAGUAUAGCUCAAUGAGAAGGAAAUCGAUUGCCAUAAAAGAAGAAUAAAGAUCGUUUGUUUUGGGCGCCAAAAUGAAGACUCAGCAGCAGUCAGUCAGUCAGAAGAACUCUCUCAGACGGACACCACGUUAUUGAAGUCCAUCAUCCUUUCAUGCGCUACAGCAUUGAUAAAUGCUGAAUUUAAAAGAAUCACUACUGUCUAAUGUUCCUGCGUGUCACCUGGACCUCCAAUCCAAAAACCUGACGAAACUCUUCUAUCAGAAAGGAGGACAGCUAGCAAAAAGACUUCAAACAAUUAAUGAUCAAAUGACAGAAGGCAUGGUUGAAGUUAGCAUCAGUGAGGUCAUUUGAAGACACCAAUGUUGGGAUUUGUGCUCUAAAACAACAUGCUUCUUGUGAUGAAGAAGACGAUCUUUGUAUAGUCCUGGAAGCCAUGAAGGUGUUGCAACAUCGUGUUUGAGCUGAUGUAUGCCUUAAACCUUUAUUUUUGAGGAAAUCCAAACUGCAUUGAGAGUAACUUUAACGAACAGUUUCUUUCAGUGAAAGGAUCAGAAAGACUGUGCUGCUCAUUUUUGAAUUUUUUAUCUGUUUUAAGUGUUUUCUCUUAUUAAUACAUUAACAGUUUGCUGCUCGGAGUCGAUUUUGGAAAUGGUUGUUGUAUUUUGUUUUUGUUGAAUCUUUGAUUAACAGUUUAUAAAUGCUGUAGCUCUGACUUUCUGAAGGAGUGAUAUUUUCCAGUUUGUAAAUCCAUUUUAUAAAUAAUAGUACUUACUGUUUUGCAUGUCUCUUUGGAAUGCAGUGUUUGUGUUUUAGCACUUCUAAAUCUACUGUGAUAGUAACUAUUUUAAACAUUUGGGUCAGUUUCACAGAUGGGGCUUUUCCUAGUCCCAGACUUUUGCAAUGCCAUAUAUCAGUGCCAUUGUUUUGUGUAAAGAUGUACUCCAGUGUUGUUUUUGUUAGGUAGGUUUGUUUGUAAACUUUAUUUUUGUAAAAAUAUCCUAAUAUAACUAGGGCCUAGUCAUGGAUUAAUCUACAACCUGUUUGGGAAAUUGCCCCUUUAUGUAUGUACUGCAUGUGCUGAUUGUUGUAAUAGUUAUUGACUGUUAUUGAAUUAAUGUGUAGUGAUUUAAAUGAAUUGAUGAUCUGAAAGCAGUGGUUUGCCUCAAUAUCACUAAACAUUUGUACAAAA